AUUGAACGCUGGCGGCAGGCCUAACACAUGCAAGUCGAGCGGAUGAAGGGAGCUUGCUCCUGGAUUCAGCGGCGGACGGGUGAGUAAUGCCUAGGAAUCUGCCUGGUAGUGGGGGAUAACGUCCGGAAACGGGCGCUAAUACCGCAUACGUCCUGAGGGAGAAAGUGGGGGAUCUUCGGACCUCACGCUAUCAGAUGAGCCUAGGUCGGAUUAGCUAGUUGGUGGGGUAAAGGCCUACCAAGGCGACGAUCCGUAACUGGUCUGAGAGGAUGAUCAGUCACACUGGAGCUGAGACACGGUCCAGACUCCUACGGGAGGCAGCAGUGGGGAAUAUUGGACAAUGGGCGAAAGCCUGAUCCAGUCAUGCCGCGUGUGUGAAGAAGGUCUUCGGAUUGUAAAGCACCUUAAGUUGGGAGGAAGGGCAGUAAGUUAAUACCUUGCUGUUUUGACGUUACCAACAGAAUAAGCACCGGCUAACUUCGUG
rnacentral:rRNA from 1 species